CACAUGUCCCAGAGCAGGGGCUUGCAGCCCUACCAGAAACGUGCUUUUUGAGUCAGCCUACUUCGUUAGAGAGCGUGCGCAGAUGAGAACUAUAGGUACCAGCAACCAUAUGACAUGCUUUAUGAAGCAGUGGCUUUGGCAUACAGCGCAAGGAGCUUGGGAUGGCAGCAGGGGAGCUUCCUUCCAGGUGCUGGGACCGGCUGAGCUUCUCUGCCCUAGGAGUCUGGGAUGGAGGCAGGGAACUUCCUUCCAGGUGCUCUUUCAUUCUUAUUUUUAACCACAGAAAUUUCUGUACAAUUUUUAUCUAGAGGAUGAUAACUAAAUGAGACAAUAACCACAAUAUGUUGCUUUCCCUCAUUUUCUCAACUGUACAUUGUUUUGCAACCUGUUCUGUUGUUUUUUGGUUUUGUUUGCUUGCUUUAAAAUGCUGUAAAGUAUUCUACUCAAUGUUUUUGAGGUUCUUUAAUAAGAGAGCUCAAUAAGUAGUACCCAUCUUCCCUUCCCAUUUAAGAAAUAGAUGAAGACACAAAAUAUUACCUUUUUCCUAAUUAUUCCUAAGAUAAAAUUGGAAGGCGUAACUUACAAUGAGAGACAAAGUAAGCCUGGAGAUUCCUUUGGACGUCUGUUGAGACUUGAAUCCCACCUCAGGGACAGCUUCCUGUUGUGGAGUAGAUAGCUCCUCUCUGGUCCAGAGCAAUCCUGGCUAAAGCGAUGAAGAAAAGGCAACAUUCACAAGCAGAGAGACACUAAUCACCUUUGCCCAAUUCCUGCAACCCACCAACCACUGUGAAGCCUCUUCCCUCUCUGGGGAGGAGAGAGAGGUGGGGCAGAAACCUAGAGGGUUAUGUAAAACCCCAUAAAACCAAAGGAAGGUGCAUUCCCCUGUGACCUAUGAAAGUCCUAUUACUCUCAACUAUUCCUCUGUUGUACAUUUGUUUCCAACAACAAUGAAUGUAACAUCUUUGUGAUUAAUCUUUGUGUAAAUUUAUGGUUAUUUCCUUAAUGUAAAUUCCUCAGAGUAGAGUCCUGAACCAAAAUAUAUUAACACAUUUAAAGCUUUUUGAUGAAUUUUGCCACAUUUCCUUCUAGAAAGCAGCAAUUUACAUUACCACUAGCAGGAGAGAACAUUUCCCUAACACACACCAACUCAGAUUUAGUCUUUUUGAUCUUUGUGAACUUGAUGAGCAAACAUCUGUAUCUCAGUUUCAUUUUAAUUUUGACCAGUCCUAAUGGAGAUGUUUUUCUAGAGG
ensembl:lncRNA